UACGAGGGGGGCAAAUGUUGUUCGGAAUCACUGGGCGUAAAGGGCGCGUAGGCGGCGCGGUAAGUCACUUGUGAAAUCUCUGAGCUUAACUCAGAACGGCCAAGUGAUACUGCAGUGCUAGAGUGUGGAAGGGGCAAUCGGAAUUCUUGGUGUAGCGGUGAAAUGCGUAGAUAUCAAGAGGAACACCUGAGGUGAAGACGGGUUGCUGGGCCAACACUGACGCUGAUGCGCGAAAGCCAGGGGAGCAAACGGG
rnacentral:rRNA from 1 species